GACGAAGGUGGCGAGCGUUGUUCGGAAUCACUGGGCAUAAAGCGCACGUAGCGGUGCCGUAAGUCAGAUGUGAAAUCCCUCGGCCCAACCGAGGAACUGCGUCUGAUACUGGCGGUGCUUGAGGACCAGAGGGGUGCAUGGAAUUUCCGGUGGAGCGGUGAAAUGCGUAGAGAUCGGAAAGAACACCAACGGCGAAAGCACUCUGCUGGGCCGACACUGACACUGAGAGACGAAAGCUAGGGGAGCGAAUGGG
rnacentral:rRNA from 1 species